rfam:Picea glauca, whole genome shotgun sequence.
AAUUUAGUGCCUACAACAUUAAUGCAACAGAUCCCAUUAGAAUUUUGCAGUUAAUCGCACUUGGGCUAGAGUAGUAAUGGGAUGGGUGACCUCCCGAGAAGUCCUAGUGUUUUACAUGC